rnacentral:rRNA from 1 species
AACGAACGCUGGCGGCGCGCUUUAAGCAUGCAAGUCGAGCGGUAAGGUCCUUCGGGACCCCAGAGCGGCGGACGGGUGAGUAACACGUGGAUAAUCUGCCUCUCAGUCCGGGAUAGCACAUGGAAACAUGUGAUAAUACCGGAUACGAUGUGCCUGUCACAUGGCGGGUACAGGAAAGGUCCUGCGGGAUCGCUGGGAGAUGAGUCCGCGGCCCAUUAGCUUGUUGGCGGGGUAAAGGCCCACCAAGGCGACGAUGGGUAGCCGGCCUGAGAGGGUGGACGGCCACAUUGGGACUGGAGACACCGGCCAGACCUCCGUACGGGAGCAGCAGCUAAGAU